AAAAAUUUCGACUAAAACUUCUAAUUUGCAGCUAAUACAAAAUGGAUUGAUUUCGUUUUGCUGCAAAUUAGAAGUCUUAGUGACAAAAAUCAUUUACAUUACUGGUAAGUGGCGAGGAGAAAAAGUCAACUCGCUCACUAGGAUGCCCAGACUGUUCCCUAACUCUAACUUUAAGGGGAAAUUUUUGACUGGUUAUCCAGAACCAGGUUAUUGGGAUUACAAAUAAUGCAACAUUCAUGAAUGUAAGUUAUUGGUAUGCACCGCAACUAAUCCUAAACCCGACAUGAAAAUCUUACAAAUCCAUGCAAAUGCUUAAGUCUGUACAUGCACUAAAUGUGAAAUUAAUUAAUAUUAAUCACUUAUGGAACAAUACAGUUUAUAUUUAUUAAGUGUUUUUCCGCAGACAAGACAAACGUUUAUAGUAAUAAUUAAACGAGUACGGUGAACAUGUAUCUGGAGUAGAACUAUCUACUCGUUUUUCUUUCUAAUUAAUUUAAGAGGUAGGAAGUUACGAC